rnacentral:rRNA from 1 species
UACGAGGGGGGCAAGCGUUGUUCGGAAUUAUUGGGCGUAAAGGGCGCGUAGGCGGUGCGGUAAGUCACCUGUGAAAACUCUGGGCUCAACUCAGAGCCUGCAGGCGAAACUGCCGUGCUUGAGUGUGGGAGAGGUGCGUGGAAUUCCCGGUGUAGCGGUGAAUGCGUAGAUAUCGGGAGGAACACCUGUGGCGAAAGCGGCGCACUGGACCACAACUGACGCUGAGGCGCGAAAGCUAGGGGAGCAAACAGG